CGGCGAACGGGUGAGUAACACAUCGGAACGUAUCCAGUCGUGGGGGAUAGCCCGGCGAAAGCCGGAUUAAUACCGCAUACGACCUGAGGGUGAAAGUGGGGGAUCGCAAGACCUCACGCGAAUGGAGCGGCCGAUGUCCGAUUAGCUUGUUGGCGGGGUAAUGGCCCACCAAGGCGACGAUCGGUAGCUGGUCUGAGAGGACGAACAGCCACACUGGGAUUGAGAACGGCCCAG
rnacentral:rRNA from 1 species